GCGCGACCCUAGGUCAGGCUAGCC
rnacentral:rRNA from 1 species